rnacentral:rRNA from 1 species
GGAAUAUUGGGCAAUGGACGCAAGUCUGACCCAGCGACGCCGCGUGAGGGAUGAAGGCCUUCGGGUUGUAAACCUCUUUCAGUAGGGAAGAAGCGAAAGUGACGGUACCUAAAGAAGAAGCACCGGCUAACUAUGUGCCAGCAGCCGCGGUAAUACAUAGGGUGCAAGCGUUGUCCGGAAUUAUUGGGCGUAAAGAGCUCGUAGGUCGUUUGACACGUCGGAUGUGAAAAUCUGAGGCUUAACCUCAGACCUGCAUUCGAUACGGUCAAACUAGAGUGUGGUAGGGGAGACUGGAAUUCCUGGUGUAGCGGUGGAAUGCGCAGAUAUCAGGAGGAACACCAAUGGCGAAGGCAGGUCUCUGGGCCAUUACUGACACUGAGGAGCGAAAGCGCGGGGAGCGAACAGGAUUAGAUACCCUGGUAGUCCGCGCCGUAAACGGUGGGCACUAGUUGUGGGAACCUUCCACGGUUUCCGCGACGCAGCUAACGCAUUAAGUGCCCCGCCUGGGGAGUACGAUCGCAAGAUUAAAACUCAAAUGAAUUGACAG